GAUGAACGCUGGCGGCGUGCCUAAUACAUGCAAGUCGAGCGAACAGACGAGGAGCUUGCUCCUUUGACGUUAGCGGCGGACGGGUGAGUAACACGUAGGUAACCUACCUAUAAGACUGGGAUAACUUCGGGAAACCGGAGCUAAUACCGGAUAAUAUUUCGAACCGCAUGGUUCGAUAGUGAAAGAUGGCUUUGCUAUCACUUAUAGAUGGACCUGCGCCGUAUUAGCUAGUUGGUAAGGUAACGGCUUACCAAGGCAACGAUACGUAGCCGACCUGAGAGGGUGAUCGGCCACACUGGAACUGAGACACGGUCCAGACUCCUACGGGAGGCAGCAGUAGGGUAUCUGCCGCAAUGGGCGAAAGCCUUACGGAGCAACGCCGCGUGAGUGAUGAAGGUCUUCGGAUCGUAAAACUCUGUUAUUAGGGAAGAACAAACGUGGAAGUAACUGUGCACGUCUUGACGGUACCUAAUCAGAAAGCCACGGCUAACUACGUG
rnacentral:rRNA from 1 species